rnacentral:rRNA from 1 species
AUUGAACGCUGGCGGAAUGCUUUACACAUGCCAGUCGAGCGGCAGCACGGGGGCAACCCUGGUGGCGAGCGGCGAACGGGUGAGUAAUACAUCGGAACAUGCCCAGUCGUGGGGGAUAACACUUCGAAAGAAGUGCUAAUACCGCAUACGUCCUGAGGGAGAAAGCGGGGGAUCGCAAGACCUCGCGCGAUUGGAGUGGCCGAUGUCAGAUUAGCUAGUUGGUGGGGUAAAGGCCUACCAAGGCAACGAUCUGUAGCUGGUCUGAGAGGAUGAUCAGCCACACUGGGACUGAGACACGGCCCAGACUCCUACGGGAGGCAGCAGUGGGGAAUUUUGGACAAUGGGGGCAACCCUGAUCCAGCCAUUCCGCGUGAGUGAAGAAGGCCUUCGGGUUGUAAAGCUCUUUCGGCAGGAACGAAACGGUGAGCUCUAACAUAGCUCGCUAAUGACGGUACCUGAAGAAGAAGCACCGGCUAACUACGUG